UUCCAUCUUAAUUCUUGAGAAGAAAUGCUCAAGAUAUCUCAUAUGUUAUUGUUUUACUAUGGCUUACAAAAUGGCCUAUGUGUGUGUGUGGCGUGAACAUUAAGUGAAUCAGCAUCCUAAAAAUAAAACCUCUUCAAGUACCGAAGACUCGCUCGUAUUUCAUUUAUUUUGAUUGAACAACACAACAUAAAGGGGGAUAAAUCUGCGAAAGGAAUGAAUAUCCAUUCACGUUUCUACUCAAGAAAACAGAAGUAACUUCUGAACAGUGCCGAGAUCAGUUCUUUGUAACUGAAAGGACGUAACAGGAGAAUUACGAAGAUGUUUCACAAUUCGCAAGCAAGUCUACACCUCACGCCAACAUCAUUAUGAUGUGAAGAACGAAAUGCGCAAGGAACCCAUAGAUAAGUGAUGUAUGCUGAAACACGUGACUGUGCCCAUUAUAGAGACAAGACUGUGAACACAGCUACUGAGAAGUGUGAACCGGGUACAAAUUUGCAACAAUUUUAUCAAAGUGGAGCCAGUCCGCAUUUAAGUACACACAAAUUGUAUCUCGUCAUUUAGUGCUGUAGUCUGAGUUAUUGACAGCGUUCUUUAAUAUACCAUCAUUAAAUAAAGAAAUACAGAUACGUAACAACCAAGUUAACAGAUCUAUAUUUUUGUGGAAUGUUGGUACAAAUGAUUCUAUUCUCCAUUAUCUUACGUGGUCUAUUAAGCAUGUUACUUACGAUUCACCUCCAAACUUUCGUAUAUAAAAUUAUAGUUUUAAUGUAAUGCUGUGUGGACUUCUAAGUAUAUACUGACCCUGAAAAUGGAGGCAGUAUGUUCUUCCAAAACAUUUUUAGUUACCUACAAGUCCACAUGGCAUUACAUCCCAGAAGAAUAUUAAAAUCUUCACUGCUUUGACAACCUAAAAUGUAUAAUAAAUAACACUUUUAUUGGCAAAAAAUAAAAGUAAAUUGCUAUUAAUGUAUGUAGUCUUAUAUUUUACUAUAUACAAUUUGAGAAUCUGCAAAUAUUUUGAUAGAGUCAGGACGUAU